GAUGAACGCUGGCGGCGUGCUUAACACAUGCAAGUCGAACGGAAAGGCCGAAGCUUGCUUCGGUACUCGAGUGGCGAACGGGUGAGUAACACGUGGGUGAUCUGCCCUGUACUUCGGGAUAAGCUUGGGAAACUGGGUCUAAUACCGGAUAUGACGAUCUCUUGGAUGGGGUUGUGGAAAGCUUUUGCGGUAUGGGAUGAGCUCGCGGCCUAUCAGCUUGUUGGUGGGGUAAUGGCCUACCAAGGCGUCGACGGGUAGCCGGCCUGAGAGGGUGUACGGCCACAUUGGGACUGAGAUACGGCCCAGACUCCUACGGGAGGCAGCAGGGGGGAAUAUUGCACAAUGGGCGCAAGCCUGAUGCAGCGACGCCGCGUGGGGGAUGACGGCCUUCGGGUUGUAAACUCCUUUCGCAAUCGACGAAGCCUUUUGGUGACGGUAGGUGGAGAAGAAGCACCGGCUAACUACGUG
rnacentral:rRNA from 1 species